CUGAGCGCUUUGAUCUGAGGGAGCAAAAGUAAAUCUUAAACAAGAUAAUGCAAUAAGAAUUUGGCAUAAUUGAUAGUGCUGUUCCAUCCCAAUCUAGAGUUUACAGAUUCUGAUGAGAACUGACGUGAACAACUCAUUCAGGCACCACUGAAAAACCCCGCCGCCCACCUCUCCGAGGAAGUCCUCAUCUCUGAGCCGGCCUCUGAGGAGCAGGACGUCAGCGUGCCGGCCCUCCUCCGAGCUCCACCGCAGGUUUUGCCGAACGGUCAGAGUCAGGUUCCCCGUGUCGUGACAGUACCUCAGCAAGCGGGACCGGUCCGCCCACACCUGGGACAGACCUGCCGGAGGCGUGGCCAGAGGGUUGGGUGGGCUGCAGAGCCACAGCCAAAUUAGCUUAAGCACACAUUCAUACUCUCAGAGCGUACUGUUUUUUUUUUUAUCAUUGAAAUAACAACAGGACGAGUAAGCAGGCCCAUAAAGCUGUGCUAAAGAGUUAUGGGCCCAGCUUGAGGCCAAUGUUCCCGAGUUUGACAGUGACUGAUGGCCUUACUGUGUGAGCAGCACCAGGAGGUCAGUGUUGCCCGCCGUCUGUGCCAGCUGCAGCGGCGUGACCCCCUCUUCGUUGGGCAGACUGACAGCCAUCAAACCCCCCGGCUGGCAGAGCAACAGCUCGGCCAGCCUGCACAGACCCCACCGCACGGCCAGGUGCAGGGGCGACUCCCUGGGACGGGGCUCUGGGGAUGAGAGGAGAGGACGAUCAAGCUCUGGAGAGAUGUGUGAGUGAAAAACCCCAAACCAAACAUGAAAUGCUUUGGAUCAGCGUAUCUGUGCAGGGAUGUCAUUCUGCGAUAUAAGACGACCUGGCUCUCACCGUCUCCACCGUGGCCUCCCAGUACAUUCCAGUUCCGAGGGAUGUCCAGGUUGGCCAUGGCCAGGGCCACGCAUCGAUCCGUAGCCCAGCGAGAACUCUCCUGGCCCACAUUGAAGAGGCUUCUCAGCUCCUUGUGAUCUGCGGAGCUCAGACAAUGUCCGUGCGUUACCAGGUGCUCCGCGAGGUCCUGAGAACAAAGCAGUCGGGGAAUAAGAUGCAAACGACAGCCAACUCUAUUACACUCGUUGUCUUAGUAAGAUUAAAAUCUGUCGACGAGCAUGACUCGUGACGAGCGUGUAAGUGUGUAGGAUCACCUUUGUGUAUAUUCCCUACCUGAGCAUCGUCUUGGACGUACUCCAGUGAAGCUCCACCCACCCAGGUGAGGGGUGUGGUUUCAGAGCACAGGUAGGCCUGGACGGAGACCAUCUCCGCCAGGUUAUGACCUAAAGAGACACGACACAGGAAAAAGCUGACUAUACUCUAGACAGGACUAUAUUUCUUUAUAUAAAACAUUUAAUGUACAAGAUGAAACUCAUAUAGCUGAUGAAGUGUCUAUUUCAAAUUGUAAUAAAAUUUACUAAAAGUGAUGGCUGCCCGUCUGUAAAGAAAUCUAUCUUAAAACUUCAUGGACUUUAAUAUAAUGAAUUGACAUAGU